rnacentral:lncRNA from 1 species
GGCCUCUGCCAGCAGAACCCCACUGGCCAGGCGUGAGCUGUCCUCUGAAAUGCCCAGAGGCCAAAAUGUUCUUUGGAGGAUCUUAUUCAGCUGAACUGCAAUGCUGUCUCCACCUCCCUAGCUGCUGGGAUUAUACAGGCGUGGGCCACCACAUCUGGCUUCAAUGUUGUCAGCCCUGGGUGGUGUCAGGGAUGCCAGGAACAGGAGAACCAGAAGAGGCUGUUGACAUGCUCAGGGAGGGAGCAAGAACUGGUUAAAGCCUCAGACACCAGCCUGUCUGACCACAGAGCCUAAGAUGCGUGAAGACAGAGAGAUUCGAUCAAAUGGGGCGGACACCCUGUGAAUACUAGAGAAAGAAACAGAUAUCUGGAUGCCACCACUCUUUGGCUCAGUGACUGUCAGUGUCUCCCCGCUGUAGUCAAGGUAUUAAACCUAGGCUUCUUGCUCUGCCCUGGGAGGGAAGUGACUGUGUCACUCACAGAACAAGCAGGGACACAUUUUGCAGGUCAAAGGGGAUGCUGCAUACCGGUAUCUUAGAACAACAAGAACACAACAGACUUUACUUUUUAAACAGGGAGGCAUAGCUGCCACACUUGCCUGGAGCCCAGGGAACAGUGUCUGUCUUUCUCUCUGGCUUCCUUCUCCGACCCACUCCCUCUCUGAGCCAUCUGCAGUUUUGCCCUUCAACCCAGAGAAGCCCUUUGAGUAGCUGGAGCUAUCUUGUUAUUGUGGCCCCACAUUGAACACUACCUGCCCAAGAGCCCUUCUCUGACCACACAUUCCCACUCAAACCUCCUCCAUCUCAAAGUUGUGACUUGUGCCCCACCCCGCCCCCGCCCCCUUGCUCUCAGCUCUGUGUCUGAGAUUCCCUUCUUUGGCACUGGCAGGGAGGAUGCAUUGAAUUCCCCCAGGCACCUGUCAGCUUCUGGGGAGGUGUUUCUGAGGGUAAACUGACUCUAUCUGGGGAUGUACAGGGAGCAAGGAAGGAAAGACGACUGACUGUGCCUACGAGGUCACCCCAGAAAUCAGAAUUACUUUCUCCUCAGUCCCCCAGUUGUUUCAUCUGAGAGGACCCUGGGGGCUGAGUCUGAAUAAAGAUUACAAACCACCUUCCCC